rnacentral:tRNA from 1 species
GCUCCGGUCGUCUAGCGGUUUAGGACAUCGCCCUCUCACGGCGAAGAUCGUGGGUUCGAAUCCCAUCCGGAGUACCA